rnacentral:rRNA from 1 species
AUUGCAUAAUUCAGUGAAUCAUCGAAUCUUUGAACGCACCUUGCGCUCCUUGGUAUUCCGAGGAGCAUGCCUGUUUGAGUGUCAU